rnacentral:misc_RNA from 1 species
CAGAGAACCACAGCACAAUAAGACGGUCACUGGUAACCCGGCCUUCCCGAACCACAUUGCCACCGGCUACCCAGCUGCUGCCGCUUCCACUACCACCACUAACGAUGCGUACGCCUAUUCAUUCCGCCAGCCACCAACAACAUCCUACGUCUACCGCCCUGUGGGAUCCACCUCCUAUAACUACCCCAUUAGGCCCACCCUUCUCCACCGUGUAUACUUUUCNGUCGCCUUAAAAAUUAUGGCCCUUUCUCUUCUUCACUGCUAUCUCGUCUUCAAACCCCGCCCCCCUGAGUUACGUGUCGACUCGGCCUUCGUUUCUCGGCUUAAUUUAACUCAAUCCGAGUUAACGGCCACUUGGAUUUUCGAUCUCGUCGUAAACAAUCCCAACCACGAGCUCGUUAUCAACUACGACCGCCUCCAGGCCUCGGUUUUAUAUGGUGACGGGUUAGGACUCGCCACGACUCAGUUGCCCCCGUUUUUUCAAGACAGUAACAAUGAGUCGACAAUUAAAUUCCAACCCGC